UUAAAAAAAAACUUGUGUAUUUUUCAUUGUUUCUCUCACUUUUGGUUUAAGUGCUGCUUUCAGAAUCGGAUGAUGACAUCACCGAUGACAGUUCAGAUGACGAACCCUUGGUUAAGAUGAUGACCAGGAAGCCAUCAAAUGAGGAGCUGAAAACAACAGUUAAGAAACUGGGUGCCCAUUUCGACCUGGAGAAAGUCACAAUGAAGGACAUUUUCAAGAAGGUUUUUAAAAUGUACCCUCGUCAUGACCUGUCAAACAAGAAGUCCUAUAUCAAGGAGACAGUGAAAAAGUUGUCGGAGUGUAGUCUGGAGUUCUUUGCUAAUCGCCACCUUCCAUGAGGCAACAGGUAGCCGAGUGGUUCACAUUGGGCCAGUAACCAAAAAGGUUUCUGGAUCGAAUCCCGAGCUGACAAGGUAAAAAGUGUCGUUCUGCCCCUGAGCAAGGCAGUUUAACCCACUGUUCCCCGGGCGCCGAAAACGUGGGUGUUGAUUAAGGCAGCCCCCCGCACCUCUCGGAUUCAACUGACACAAUCAGUUGUGUUGUGACAAGGUAGGGGUGGUAUACAGAAGAUAGCCCUAUUUGGUAAAAGACCAAGUCCAUUUUAUGGCAAGAAUAGCUCAAAUAACCAAAGAAAAACGACAGUCCAUCAUUACUUUAAGACAUGAAGGUAGUAUAAAAUGGACUUUGAAAGUUUCUUCAAGUGCAGUCACAAAAACCACCAAGCGCUAUGAUGAAACUGGCUCUCAUGAGGACCGCCACAGGAGAGGAAGACCCUGAGUUACCUCUGCUGCAGAGUAUAAGUUCAUUAUAGAGUUACCAUCUUCAGAAAUAUCAGCCCAAAUAAAUGCUUCACAGAGCUCAAGUAACAGACACAUCUCAACAUCAACUGUUCAGAGGAGACUGCAUGAAUCAGACCUUCAUGGUUGUAUUGCUGCAAGGAAACGACUACUAAAGGACACCAAUAGGAAGAAGGGACUUGCUUCUGACGAGAAACACAAGCAAUGGACAUUAGACCGGUGGAAAUGGUCUGAUGGGUUCAAAUGUACGAUUUUUUUGGUUCUAACCGCCGUGUCCUUGUGAGACGCAGAGUAAGUGAAUGGAUGAUCUCCGCAUGUGUGGUUCCCACCAUGAAGCAUGGAGUAGGUGAUAUGGGGGUGCUUUGCUGGUGACACUGUCUAUUUAUUUAAUUCAAGGCACACUUAACCAGCAUGGCUACCACACCAUCCCAUCUGGUUUGGGCUUUGUGGGACUAUGACCCAACACAUCUCCAGGCUGUGUAAGGGCUAUUUGACCAAGAAGGAGAGUGAUGGAGUGCUGCCUCAGAUUACCUGGCCUCCACAAUCACCCAACCUCAAUCCAAUUGAGAUGGUUUGGAAAGAGUUGGACCGCACACUGACGGAAAAGCAGCCAACAAACGCUCAGCAUAUGUGGGAAGUCCUUCAAGACUGUUGGAUAAGCAUUCCUCAUGAAGCUGGUUGAGAGAAUGCCAAGAGUGCAAAGCUGUCAUCAAGGCAAAGGGUGGCUACUUUGAAGAAUCUAAAAUCUAUUUUGAUUUGUUAAAUACUUUUGAUUACUACAUGAUUCUGUAUGUUAUUUAAGAAUUUUGACGUCUUCAUUAUUAUUCUACAAUAUAGAAAAUAGUAAAAAUAAAGAAAAACCUUAAUGAGUAGGUGUAUCCAAACUUUUGGUACUGUAUGUUGCACACAUUGUUCACUGUACUAUGCAUUGUAGCCUAUUUUACUGUAUCAUAGAGCUGUCCUUUUCCACUGAUGGUCCUGUUAGUUUUUUUAAAGCUAAUUCCAGUCAACCUUUUUAAUUAGCAAUGAAACAUUGUAUCCUAUGUUAUUUAAAAACAAAUUUUACCCAUCAAUGAUAAUGAAUGACCAAAUCACUUGUAACAGAGGAAGUUCCUCCUCUCUUUAGUCCCCAAAGCUUGCUCUCUCUGGCCAGGGUUCAAUAGCGGAGGGGUUGCGUAGGGCAGCCUUCCCCCGGUCCAGGCCUGGUACUCCAGGGGUCCCUGUUCACCCACAUCCAGAAGCCACUGAAGAAGCAUGGACUGGUCCCUCUGGGCUUUAAAUGAAUCAAUUUCUGGAUCUGGAGCUGCUCAGUCUUAGACAGCAAGCUGGUGAGGUCAGUGAUCCCUGAAGUGCUUCAGCGCCUCCUUCCACAUCUUGUUCUCCUGUACAUCAUGUUUAGCUACAACCUGGCCUGCCCUGUGAACGGUCUUGGUUUACACUGAUGCGAUGCUGCCUGGCCAGAGAAGGAGAGCGUUGGAACUUUCUUUGUUAAUUGAUUUGGUAAUUCACUAUCAGGUAAAACAUUAUUGGGAUACAAUUAGGAUGGACAAUAAAAUGUCAUCUUUAUUUCCAA